rnacentral:rRNA from 1 species
GUGAGGAAUAUUGGACAAUGGGCGCAAGCCUGAUCCAGCCAUGCCGCGUGCAGGAAGACGCAUCUAUGGUGUGUAAACUGCUUUUGUACGGGAAGAAACACUCCCUCGUGAGGGAGCUUGACGGUACCGUAAGAAUAAGGAUCGGCUAACUCCGUGCCAGCAGCCGCGGUAAUACGGAGGAUCCAAGCGUUAUCCGGAAUCAUUGGGUUUAAAGGGUCCGUAGGCGGUUUAAUAAGUCAGUGGUGAAAGCCCAUCGCUCAACGAUGGAACGGCCAUUGAUACUGUUAGACUUGAAUUACAAGGAAGUAACUAUAAUAUGUAGUGUAGCGAUGAAAUGCUUAGAUAUUACAUGGAAUACCAAUUGCGAAGGCAGGUUACUACUUGUGGAUUGACGCUGAUGGACGAAAGCGUGGGGAGCGAACAGGAUUAGAUACCCUUGUAGUCC